rnacentral:rRNA from 1 species
UACGUAGGGUGCGAGCGUUGUCCGGAAUUACUGGGCGUAAAGAGCUCGUAGGUGGUUUGUCGCGUUGUUCGUGAAAUCUCACGGCUUAACUGUGAGCGUGCGGGCGAUACGGGCAGACUAGAGUACUGCAGGGGAGACUGGAAUUCCUGGUGUAGCGGUGGAAUGCGCAGAUAUCAGGAGGAACACCGAUGGCGAAGGCGGGUCUCUGGGCCGAUACUGACGCUGAGGAGCGAAAGCGUGGGGAGCGAACAGG